AUGUGUGACAUCCGCUGCUCGCAGGAUGACGAACCUGUUGACUCAUUCACCCCUGCUCAUUCAUAAAUGAAUCUUGACCAAGAGAAUCCUGAAAAACAGACAUGUAGGACUAAAAGAAAAAGGACCUGAGAGAUGCUGUGUGUGUGAGUCAGAAGAAGGUUGCAGCACUGCAGCGGUUCCUGUAACGGCACUGGUCUCUGGCUAAACACACCCAUCCAAUCCAUCAGCCUUCAUUCAUCCUUCGCCCAUCCUUCCAUUCACACAAUCAAAGCAGCGGGGAGGGUGGGAUGGAGAGAGAGAUGCUGCGAUAGAGAGAGCAUCUGCUUCUGCAGAAAUCGCAGUGGGGAAGGGGCGGAGGAGGAGGAGGAGAGAGAGUGUAUCGUGCCAUCGCAGAAGAAAGAAGAGCUACAGAGAGAGAGAGAGGGCAGGGAGGAAAGUGCGCUUCUCUCCAAUUGCAACACUCUCUCUCUGUCACAUUGACAAGGUGUCUGUUCGACUCCAUCUCAUUCUGUCUGUCUCUCUGUCUCUCACACACACACACACACUCACACAGUGGUGGUGCUGCAGAGACAUCAUCGGGACGGACCACGGCAUCAGUGCAGCGCUGAUAUCAUCGGUCAGCAGUGACAAUCAUAACAACCUGGACCGAGGAGGACGACAACACAGGCAUCACGCUGGGGUCCGCAGAGUGCGCGGGCCGGCCAGAGGCCAUGAGGCUGGUCCAUAAUGCAGAGAAACAAUCUUUCUCCUUUAAGAAGUGCUCUGCCUUCCAGUUUGUCAAGAGGAAGGUGCGCAGGUGGAUGAGGAAUCCGAAGGUGAAUGUGGAGAAGGUCCAGGCUAAGGGCUUCCUGUCUCCAUGUCCGAAAUGUCAGGAAGGCCAGGACCUGUGGUACUCACACUUCCCAGCUCCUUACGGCUGCUGCCACUACAGUCCUGGAGGAUACUACCUCCCUCACCCCCCCAGCCCUCUGUGUCAGCCCUGUGCCCCAUGCACACCUUGCCAGACAGACAAGAACAAGACAUGCAAGGUGAGAAAAUGGAAGAUGCUCAGUCGACAUCACAAUGAUAGUAAGGUGAAGGAGGCCGAAUCAGAGGGUCAUGUGAUCUGCCCCUGGACGAUGUCACCACUGCUGGGAAGCCCCGUAUUGCUGGAAUGUUGCAUCUGCAAUGGACCCUUCAUCACUUACGGGCAUGAGGAGGCAUGGCAACCACGUCAGCGCACACAGGCAAUGGACCUUUACUACCAUGGAGACCCCGACUCUGAUUAUUGCUGUCUGUCUGACACCAGUAAGUUCUGUCUUUUUUUCUCCACCAGUCUUUUCUUUAUUUAUUAUCUUUUCUCAUUCAUUCACCUUUAUAACUCUUUCAGGAUCUUUCUGCUUCCUGUCGUUGCACUUCCUUCUCUUACUUUUUGAGUUUUUUUGUUUCUUCUCCCUGUUUUUCUCUCUUGCUGGUAUAAGCAUAACCCAUAAUCACCUUGAUCCAUGUAGGCUUAGAGUUGAACCUUUAAUAACUAUUUUUAGGCAAGUGCUCAAAACAGCACUUCUGUGAAUAAAACACUCCUACACUAUUCAAUUACAAAUACCAAAUGCCACCCGAUAAUGGUAGAAAUGCACCAUGCACAUUUAUCAAGUGCUUCUUAACAUGCAUUGUAUGUGCUAAACUAUAGCGACACUGAUAGCGAAUUAUGAUUUUAUGUGUAUGGGUGAAUUUUUCUUUUCCCUAGGACAAUUUUAAAGAAAACAAAAUCAUUUUAGUUUUAAAGGAUAGAACAUAAUUUGCCAUGAUUUCUCUAUUUUGGGCUUGUUUAACUUUUCUCAUCAAGGAAUUUAUAAAAACUGUAAAUAUUAAUUUUUUUUAAUUUUGCACAUCAUAAGAAUUAAAUGAAACAUAUUAAAUAUUAUAUAUAAUAUUAUAUUUAAAAUAUUGUAUAUUAAACUAAAAUAUAAAAUGUACAUAAAAUAUUGUUUUCAUAUAUCAUUUGAAAUUUAGGUGUUAAUUUUUUUAUAACAAAGUUUUAAUAUUAGACCAACCAUUUUAAAGAACAGUUACAUUACCGAUCAAAUGUUUGGGGUCAGUUUAAUGUUUUUUAUUUCAAAUAAAUGCUGUUCUUAUGAACUUUCUAUUUAUCAGGAAUCAAUCACAGAAAUAAAUUACAUUUUAAAAUAUAUUAAAAUAGAAUUGUUAUUUAAUUUUAAAUUGUAAUAAUAUUUCACAGUGUUGCUGUUUUACCAUAUUUGUAUCAAAUAAAUGCAUCCUUGGUAAAAAAAAUAAAAUAAAAUAAAAUAAAAAUAAAAUAAAAAAAAAUAAGAAAAAAAGUUUCUGGUUGGUUAUGAUGUAGAUGAGAGGCGACAAGGGAGCUGUUUGCAGUGACAUGGCUGUAUAUUACCAGUCUUUUAAAGGUUUGGAUGAUAAGCUUAUCUGAAAAAGGCAAAUGCAAAAAUACUUUUAUCUCAUUUCUGUGGAAAGUGUUUUUUUUUUUUUUUUGUCCUAUCAUAACUUAACACUGAACUCAGGAGAGGUACAGAGAGAACAGUGUCCUGAGGAGUCUCUUGGGACUGGUCAGCUAGAUAAAAUGUGCUUUCCCAUUUAAAGAAACAUGCCAAAAUACAGAGCACUCUGGAGAUGAGGUAAUUUGCAAUCACUGACAUGUAGCUGUCUCAUAAUUGAAUAGUACAAUCCCUAUGAAGGCACAAUAAUCUGUAACUACACUAUAGCUGCAUCUUUAAUAUAUUUGUUUGUGUUCAUAUUACAUUACUCAUAGUCUAAAUUUGUCUAAAUGAUCUCAUAAGCUCCAGAGUUUCUCUGGACAGAGUCACUGCAGGUGUGUUUGUGAAUGCACAUAUUUGUAUGCAUUCAUGUGAAUGUGUGUGUGAAGGAAAUUGCAUAAUGCUCUUGAAACCAGAGUAUGAUCCAAGAUCACAUUAGUAUUCAUAAUGUUUGGGUCCUGCAUUGAGUGCUUAGCUGCAUUUAAAUAAGAUUUUACAUAAUCCCCUGCAUCUUCCAACAUAAAUAAACAAAGUGUUUAGACACUUAGGACUGAAGCUCUCUCUGUCUCUCUAUCCUCUCCCAUACCUCUAUUCACUUCCUAUUUACACAGAGGAUGAAAGACUGAAAAGACCAGCAUCUGGGUGAUAUGAUGAGCACAAGGAGACAAGGGGAAGAGAAUCUAAAUUAAGAGUAUUGAACUGAGAACUUAAAGUUGAAAAGUUUCAAAACAUUUUGUAAAACUGUUGUGAAAUAUAGAGAACCGCGAGGAGUGUAAUGUAUGACAGUGACGACAUACAAAAAAACACUGGAAAGUUGUUUGAAUUUGUUCUAAUUUUAUACAAUUAUCCAAUCACAGUAUCUUUUGGCCAAAACAAUGUUUUAAUAUUUUUACAUUUAUGUUUAAAAUUUAGCUAUGAAUUGUGGUUAUUAUUUUAUUAUAUUAGAUUAAACCUUUAUUAUUAUGUAAUACAAUAUAAUAUAAUAAUAAUUGUAUCUUUGAGUAUUUUAUAUGUAAUCAAUUUCAUGCUUUGCUAAAUUGUAAUUAAAUAACCAACAAAGUAUCUUUUGGCCAAAACAAUGCUUUAUAUUUUAAAUAUUUUUUAUGAUUAAAUUUUAUUUUAUAUUAAAACUAUUGUAAUAUAUUAAUACAUUUUUGUAAUAAUUUCCAACUAUUAAUAAUCAUAGUUGCCAUUAUGACUUACCUCAUACAGUGUGACAACUUGCCCCAGUCUUAAGAUUGUGUGUUUGAGUUAUUUGUGUGUGUGAUCAUUUUCAUGCUUUACUAAACUGUAAUUAGUGUUUGAGAGGUGUGGAUAACUUCUCUUCUUAUCUAACUUCUCUUAAUUAGUACAGAAAGAAUACAAAACAUUUUUGCUAAAAAAGUUGUAGGACUCCAUAUCCGCGUUAAAAGUCUCUUUAUCGGUCUCAAUCGAGUCAAUGAUGCCCAAAAACUGUGUUCAGGUAGAGUUUUCAUUUAGCUUCAGUUUCUCAUGAAAACAGUGCAGCACAUUGUUGGAGGGCUGGAGAGACUCCGCCCCGCAGAUAUCCGGUGUCAGAUCAGCUCUGAUGGAAUGCAGCGGAUUGAGAAAAUUCUUUCACCCCCAAACUUCCUCAUCGAGCGUGUCUGCGGCUCUUUACGCUCUUUCCUGACCCCAUGAAAGACAAAACUUCUCCGCUGUCAUGUAAGUUGAAUCUCGCCGAAUUCAUCACGGAAAAAUGGUGUUAUGGAACUGUUUUUAUUUAAAUGACGUUCCACUGGAGGUGUCCGCUUAUAACUAGGGUGUACUGGAGACAUCUGUAGGUGCGUUACCGUAGGGGCAGUGACCCGGUUUUAACACCUUACUCAUAUCUAUAUUGAUUUAGUCUGAUAAAGGCACUUGGCUCUGCCUUUGCUAAACAUAAGGAACGCUAGCCAGUCUUGGCUCGCAUAAGAGACUUUACAGUCAGGAUUUACAGCACAAUGAGAACUUCCGCGGAACUUAAAGGUUUGUACUUUUCUCAAAAACCCAUUAAUCAUCAUAAACCAGUGAUAUGUAUAAAAUGCACAAUAGGCAUAAAUAUAGUUUAUAUAGUGGUUUAUUUAAACAUCUGGAAGGUGCGUUCAGUCUUUUUCUCCGUUAAAAUGGUUAUUUAACAGUAUUACUCAUUGUAAUGUACAAACAUGUAGGCUAUUUACAUGUUUGAGUAACAUGCAAGCAGAACCAAAAAAAAUAAAAAAUACGUAUUAAGUGCAUGUUGAUCGUCUUCAUGUUGUAUUAUUUAAUGCUGACUCCAAUGUGUUUUGUUGUAAAGCUCUACAGUGCCGCGAUCUACUGUAUAAAAAACUCUGCUGCAAGAUGAGAUACAUUGUAAUUACAAGCGUCAAAAUGGUUUUUUGCCACAACCCAACCAUUUAUUAGUUUCAGUCUUUUUGAGGCUAAGGUUCUGAGCUUUUAUUAUAAUUUAAUGAGUUGAAUGAGUAACUCUAAAUGACGUUAAUAAUAGACUGCUGGGGUAUGGAGUUGCAUAACUGUGGAAAACUAGGGCAUUUCACGAUCUUAUGUAAAGUUCCUGGUCUCUAAAUGACAGAAGGGAAGAAAGCAGAAGAGGAAUGCUUGAAUUUUACUGGAAGCAAUUAAUUCUGUGAAGUUCGACUCAUUUCCUCGAAUCGGUUCUUUCGAACAGUUCGUUUCGAACACCAGUUCAAAAACAAAUUCGGCUUAUUUUACGUCGAUAUUUUUACACCCUGACAUCGCGGUGUGGAAAUUUACUUACAAUUCUUAAUAUGCAUCCGCAUAUUUAACGUUUACUGCAUUUUAAUAACGUUAUUCGUUCAGUGAGUUAGUUGUGAGUAGACUCGAUAACUGCUGCUACUGACUCGCUCGGACUGUGAAUUGAACAAGUUCAACCGAUUCAUUAAAAAGACCCCACACAAAAGAACGGGUUAUUCACCGUUAAUCCAGUCAGUACUUUUCGUGCUGAUGUUUGGCUCGAGUCCCUUUGCUUUUGUCUCAUUCAUGCGUCAUCUGUCACGACGGUUAAAAUGGGGCUUUGAGAAAAAAAAGUGAGGUAAAGCGUGAAAGAGCUGCUGUAGGACUCAUUGACUUUUGUGCACACGUGGAUAGCUGUUGUUUUAGGAAGUCUUUUGAACAGGUGUGAUGAUUCAACCGAAUCUUUUCUGCUUGAUCUUUACCUUUGUACACUUACAUACUGAAUACAUUGUUUACACUUGCGAUAAAGUAGCAAUAAGAAUGUGUAGCAAGACUGUUUGUAUUAUGACUGUAUUCUAAGGCAGACAGGUUUGUUUAUAAAAGAGAAAUACAGUGACUCAAUUUUGAGUCCUUUUUUUGUUGUUAACAGAACAUGUAGUCCUGCUCAGCUUGUUACAUCUGGGAAGAUCUUGCUUUCAACUGUAUGUAACAUAACAUAAGAUUUUGGGGCGUUGCGUUCUCGUUCACUCACAGCUGGCCCCUUAUAGACGGUACAGCUGACUCUGCUAGAACCUGCGGUACUUAAGCCAGGCCACGCCCCCGCAUACAGAGACUUGAUUCAGGACACGCCUCCUCUCUAAGAACGAAUGCCAAGCCACGCCUCUUAGCGGAACGCGAUCUCUAGCCUCCUCCCCCCAGCCUUUUAAAUAGUUGGAACAGUAGUGUAGGAGUUCAGUAGCGCUUUGUGUCGUUUUGGUUACGGGCC
rnacentral:lncRNA from 12 species